GUGGGGAAUCUUGCGCAAUGGGCGAAAGCCUGACGCAGCCAUGCCGCGUGAAUGAUGAAGGUCUUAGGAUUGUAAAAUUCUUUCACCGGGGACGAUAAUGACGGUACCCGGAGAAGAAGCCCCGGCUAACUUCGUGCCAGCAGCCGCGGUAAUACGAAGGGGGCUAGCGUUGCUCGGAAUUACUGGGCGUAAAGGGCGCGUAGGCGGACAGUUUAGUCAGAGGUGAAAGCCCAGGGCUCAAACUUGGAAUUGCCUUUGAUACUGGCUGUCUUGAGUACGGGAGAGGUGAGUGGAACUCCGAGUGUAGAGGUGAAAUUCGUAGAUAUUCGGAAGAACACCAGUGGCGAAGGCGACUCACUGGCCCGUUACUGACGCUGAGGCGCGAAAGCGUGGGGAGCAAACAGGAUUAGAAACCCGUGUAGUCC
rnacentral:rRNA from 1 species